ensembl:rRNA 5S_rRNA 5S ribosomal RNA
UACUAUGGGCCAUGCCACCCUGAAUAAACCAAAUUCCGUCUGAUCUCGGAAGCUAAGCAGUGUCGGGCCAGGUUAGUAUUUGGAUGGGAGACAACAUAAGAAGACUAGGUGCUGCAGGCA